AGUGGUCUAGGUUAAGGUUAGAUUGUUUGUUUUCAAAACAAAAGGUGAUUUUAUGGGUCGACUGCUG
rnacentral:tRNA from 1 species